CAGUAGCCGCGGGAAUACGUAGGUGGCAAGCGUUGUCCGGAAUUAUUGGGCGUAAAGGGCUCGCAGGCGGCUUCUUAAGUCUGAUGUGAAAGCCCCCGGCUCAACCGGGGAGGGUCAUUGGAAACUGGGAAACUUGAGUGCAGAAGAGGAGAGUGGAAUUCCACGCGUAGCGGUGAAAUGCGCAGAGAUGUGGAGGAACACCAGUGGCGAAGGCGACUCUCUGGUCUGUAACUGACGCUGAGGAGCGAAAGCGUGGGGAGCGAACAGGAUUAGAUACCCCCGUAGUCCCUGUCUCUUAUAC
rnacentral:rRNA from 1 species